UGCCAUAGAGUCGAUUAGCCAUGUUAGUCGAGGGUGCUUCUUCUUCGGAAGAAGUAACCCGGCGGACGGCUCAGUAACACGUGGAUAACUUGCCCUUGGGUCUGGGAUAACCCCUGAGAAAUUGGGGACAAUACCGGAUAGGGCAUCGAUAGCUGGAAUGCGCGAUGUCCAAAAGCUGAGGCGCCCAAGGAUAGGUCUGCGGCCGAUUAGGUUGUUGUUGAUGUAAUGGAUCAACAAGCCUGCAAUCGGUACGGGUUGUGAGAGCAAGAGCCCGGAGAUGGGUUCUGAGAAAAGAACCCAGGUCCUACGGGACGCAUCAGGCGCGAAAACUUUACAAUGUGCGAAAGCACGAUAAGGGAACUCUGAGUGCCUCCUAUGGAGGCUGUUCAGGUGUCUAAAAAGCACUUGAAGUAAGGGCUGGGUAAGACCGGUGCCAGCCGCCGCGGUAACACCGGCAGCCCAAGUGGUAGCCACGAUUAUUGGGUCUAAAGCGUCCGUAGCCGGCCAGGUAAGUUCUUUGGGAAAUUUAACCGCUCAACGGUUAAGCUUUCAGGGAAUACUGCUUGGCUUGGGACCGGGAGAGGUCAGAGGUACUUCAAGGGUAGGGGUGAAAUCCGUUAAUCCUUGAGGGACCACCAGUAGCGAAGGCGUCUGACCAGACCGGGUCCGACGGUGAGGGACGAAGGCUAGGGUCGCGAACCGGAAUUAGAUACCCGGGUAGUCCUAGCUGUAANCGAUGCGGGCCAGGUGUUGGCAUUACUGCGAGUGAUGUCAGUGCCCAANGGAAGCCGUUAA
rnacentral:rRNA from 1 species